CAAGUAGACCGGGUGACCGCCCCGACUUGAGUCGGGGAGGAAAGUCUGAACUCCACCGGGCAGGAUGCUGGGUAACACCCAGGAGGGGCGACCCUACGGAAAGUGCCACAGAAACAUACCGCCAACGGUCCCGAUGAAAAUCGGGAUGCGGGUAAGGGUGAAAUGGUGGGGUAAGAGCUCACCAGCGGCCGGGUGACCGGCCGGCUGAGCAAACCCCAUCUGGAGCAAGACCAAAUAGGGGGAUAUAAGGAUGCCCGGCCUUGUCCCCGGGUUGGUCGCUUGAUCCCGAUGGUAACAUCGGGACGAGAUAGAUGGUCACCGUCCUUCACUUGUGAGGGAUACAGAAUUCGGCUUAUAGGUUUACUUGGCCC
rnacentral:RNase_P_RNA from 2 species